UAAGUUUUUCAAGGCAAAGACUUCUUUCUGUGACAACAUUGCAGUUGUCACCUUGCAACAAUUCUAGGAAUAAUCACAUGAACUUCCUCUGCUCAUGAUCCCUUGACCUUUGCAUUGUGCCUUCAAAAACAACAAGGUCUAAAUGAUGCUUUCUCUGUGAUGAUCAGUUUAUUUCCAAGUAGCUUGUCCACAAAUAAGAUUUUCAGAAGAAUUUUACACCACUUCUCUUCUCCACAACCAAUCAUUCAACAUCCCAAAGCAACUCUGACUUGAUGUCACCAUCAAAUUUCCUGCUCCCAAACCUCUGUGAUCACUGAGAGGAAAUUUUUCUGUGUAUGAAAGGAGACCAGUAAAAGAUGAAUAUAGUUAGCAGCAUGUCUUGUAUUUGUGCUGUGUGAAAGUUUAGGUUAAUUUAAAGCCCCAUUUAAAUCUAUUUUCAUAAGGUGCUCUUGCUGGUGGAUGAUUAUAUUCUCAUUGCAUUGAAUAGCUCCAUAAUCAACUUGCUCUCAUGCAAUGUUCCUGUUUCCAAUCUGCAAUAUUUUCUUCUGAAUUUGGAAAUCCAGUGGUGUGAAAAAAUACUAUUGGAGGGGGUUGCAAUCCUUUUAUGUUCAAUUUGGAAACUUCACUCUCAUAAAAUGGUUUCAUGGGCUUUGUUGUGGAGUAAACAGUCUCUUGCCUACACAGGAAUCUGGGGCUACAUAAUUGCUGCUUCUUGCCUCAUAUUUGGAGUUGGGUCAGUCAUAUGGCAGCACUACAACUGGCGUUAUGAGUUGAAGAAAACCACUUUCAAUCCUUCUUUGGAUAAGCUUCACAGUGUAUCUGUGUACUGCAUGAUACAAUUCAGCAUACUCCUUUUGUCAGCUUCAUCCCACUUCUGGCAGUUAUUUCUGUUUCAAUUUUGUCAUGUAGAAAUAUGUUUUUUUUUUCCUUUUGUUUCAUUUAAUGUUUUAACCUGAAAGCAAGGAAGCAAUUUGGAAUAAUAUUGAUAAAUUCAAAAUAAUUUGAAGUAAUCAAAAUGUAUACCACACUUCAGAGCCAUGCAACUGUAGCCAUAAAACUAGUAGAAACUGGAAGACUUAAAAAAUGCAGAUGCUUUGCAGAGGAGCCAGUGGUGUAAUAUUGUGGGAAAAUGAUAGGCUUGUCCAUGAACUAAAGAAAACUGGAGGGAUCUUGGUUAGCACUGUGGACCAAGUCACUGUAUGCACAUUGCAAAACCCUUACAUCAAAGGCAAAUUGUAUAUAUUUUACUGGAUGAUAAUUUGAAAUCUCCUUAUUUCUUCCUACACUUUUCCAGUAUUUUGCUAAAAAAACAUGUUAAAUAUUUACACUUUCUUUUUUCUUUUUAUUCAUUUCCACAGAUGUAAGUGAUAACUUAAAUAGCUUUGUGAUGGCUCUUCACAAUUAUCCCAAAUAGAAUGGCUUACAUUUUUAUGUAACUCUUGAGGGUUUUGCAGUUGCAAGUUGAUGGAGCUAUUAACAUGAUUCCCUUAUCCAACAUCAGUCCCAUGGCAAAUCAGGAUAUGGCAAAGAGUACCCUCUCUGCCUGUAAUAACCUUGGUGACACAUUCAGAAAUCUUACACAAAAUGUUAAAUCACACAUGUCUCAUGCCUACAAAAUUUUUGACAUUGUGUAAGUAUCAAAGGUUCCAUCCCCAUUUCAAGUAAUGAAACGUGUAAAUGUAAUAAAUUGAAAAAUAGGAAAAAACUCAACAAAAAAUAAUAUUAAAUUUGAAAUGCAAUAGCUUGCUCAUACCUUUGAGGCAACAGAUCAACUGCAAACUAACUAAAUAAAUAUUCAAAAUUGUUAAUUGAGGAUGUUUUGUUGAUGUGUGCAGAAAUAUAGUUGUGUCUAUGGUUGCGUCUCUGAUGAUUUUGAUGGUGAUAA
rnacentral:lncRNA from 1 species